UCGAGCCCUAAACUCAUCCUCACCCGACGUCGUCUCCUCCUCUCCCUCUCGUGACGCCGAGCAACACCGACCUCCUCUUCAUCUUCCCCAACCCGACGCGACACCGAGGCUCUUCCCCUUCCUCUUCUUUAUCUUCUCCUGAUUAGCAGCUCUAAUUCAUUUCUUCCUCUUCACUGCGAUCGCCCCGGUCUUCGCCGGUUCUUGUCUCCUCCCCUCGGCAUCGCUGGUGUGGAUCUAACCUAGGAGCUUCAAGAGUGAGUGAUCCUCCUCUUUUCAAAUUCCCGCAAGCUGCAGCGCCGAGCCGUUCUUCUCCUUUCCGGCGUCUCACCGAUCUCCUUCGUCAAGUUGAAGCCACAACCAUCGGUGCUAGGUCUGGGCCAGAGCUGGCUCUAUGAGGGCAGUGUUAAUCUUUGAAACUCUCUCCCACAUACCGAUCCUUCUUUCCACUUGCUCGUCAGGGGUAUUCUGUUGCUUCGUCGCAAAAUUUGUAGGACAUAUGUUUGACGAAAUGCCUUGAGUCCUCUUGUCUCCUCUGUUUGCGCUGGCAGCACCAUUGGUGAUCACCUGUUGUUGUGAGUUGCUGCUAGGACAGUGAGCAUCCACGGACUUUGAUUCGAUACGAGUGUCUCGACGUGGGAUCUAUUUCGGAUACGAUCUCCAUUUUU